rnacentral:miRNA from 12 species
AUCCUAAUGCAGAGCACUUAUU